GGCUCAGAUUGAACGCUGGCGGAAUGCUUUACACAUGCAAGUCGAACGGCAGCACGAGAGCUUGCUCUUAGGUGGCGAGUGGCGAACGGGUGAGUAAUAUAUCGGAACGUAUCCAAUAAUGGGGGGAUAACUAAUCGAAAGGUUAGCUAAUACCGCAUACGCCCUACGGGGGAAAGCAGGGGAUCUUCGGACCUUGCGUUAAUGGAGCGGCUGAUAUCUGAUUAGCUAGUAGGUGAGGUAAAGGCUCACCUAGGCUUCGAUCAGUAGCUGGUCUGAGAGGACGACCAGCCACACUGGAACUGAGACACGGUCCAGACUCCUACGGGAGGCAGCAGUGGGGAAUUUUGGACAAUGGGCGCAAGCCUGAUCCAGCCAUUCCGCGUGAGUGAAGAAGGCCUUCGGGUUGUAAAGCUCUUUCGCAAGGGAAGAAACGAUGCCGACGAAUAAUCGGUGUUAAUGACGGUACCUUGAUAAGAAGCACCGGCUAACUACGUG
rnacentral:rRNA from 1 species